CCCCUCUCAGGGUCACACCUGGAAAGUUCCCAGUAACUCUACCAGUCUCGAUUACAGGAGGGAGAGUCAGGCAGAGGCCUAUCCAUUCCAUUCCUAGCUUGGGCAGUGGCUAGUGAGUGGAAAGCAAUCUGCUACAAGU